CCUACGGGAGGCAGCAGUAGGGAAUAUUCCACAAUGGGCGAAAGCCUGAUGCAGCAACGCCGCGUGAGCGAUGAAGUCCUUCGGGUCGUAAAGCUCUUUCAUCAAGGAAGAUAAUGACGUUUCUUGAGGAGGAAUCCCUGGCUAACAACGUGCCAGCAGCCGCGGUCAUACGUAGGGGGUUAGGGUUAUCCGGAAUUAGUGGGCGAAAAGCGUGGGUAGGUGGUUACUUAAGUCAGAGGUAAAAGGGUAAGGCUCAACCGUGGUAAGCCUUUGAAACUGGGGAACUGGAGUGCAGGAGAGGAAAGUGGAAUUCCUAGUGUAGCGGUGAAAUGCGUAGAUAUAAGGAGGAACACCAGUUGCGAAGGCGGCUCUCUGGACUGUAACUGACACUGAGGCACGAAAGCGUGGGGAGCAAACAGGAUUAGAUACCCGAGUAGUC
rnacentral:rRNA from 1 species